AACAUCGCGCACCUGCGGGAACCUGCGGAAGGAUCAUUACCGAGUUUACAACUCCCAAACCCCUGUGAACAUACCUAUACGUUGCCUCGGCGGAUCAGCCCGCGCCCCGUAAAAAGGGACGGCCCGCCCGAGGACCCCUAAACUCUGUUUUUAGUGGAACUUCUGAGUAAAACAAACAAAUAAAUCAAAACUUUUAACAACGGAUCU
rnacentral:misc_RNA from 1 species